rnacentral:rRNA from 1 species
UACGUAGGGGGCUAGCGUUGUCCGGAAUCAUUGGGCGUAAAGCGCGUGUAGGCGGUCCGGUAAGUCCGCUGUGAAAGUCCAGGGCUCAACCCUCGAAUGCCGGUGGAUACUGUCGGGCUAGAGUGCGGAAGAGGCGAGUGGAAUUCCUGGUGUAGCGGUGAAAUGCGCAGAUAUCAGGAGGAACACCUAUUGCGAAGGCAGCUCGCUGGGACGUUACUGACGCUGAGACGCGAAAGCGUGGGGAGCAAACAGG